rnacentral:rRNA from 1 species
UACGAAGGGGGCUAGCGUUGUUCGGAAUCACUGGGCGUAAAGCGCACGUAGGCGGACUUUCAAGUCAGGGGUGAAAUCCCGGGGCUCAACCUCGGAAUUGCCUUUGAUACUGUAGGUCUCGAGUCCGGAAGAGGUGGGUGGAAUUCCUAGUGUAGAGGUGAAAUUCGUAGAUAUUAGGAAGAACACCGGUGGCGAAGGCGGCCCACUGGUCCGGUACUGACGCUGAGGAGCGAAAGCGUGGGGAGCGAACAGG